UGCAGACGGAAAAGUUAAAAAUAGUGGAUCCUUAAGACAUGUUAUUUUGUACAAAAUGAAAGCAGAUCGAAUGGACAAGGAAAAGUGAACGUGCCCAAAUCAAAGGCCAGAAAAAUGUGUCUAGUGCAGUUAAAGAGGCAGAGUUGUAUAUUAGACAGGGUAUUGACAAGGAUGGUUUUAUUGUCAAAGAUAUUAACCCUGAAAUAGGAAAAGGGGUCUUUACAACAAGAGCUUUUAUGAAGGGAGAAUUU